UUGAUUUUGGUGGGGGGAAAUGUCUAUACCUGGAGACACAUCUCUCACCAAUAGAUUUUUUAAAAGAGCCCAUUAUUAAAAGCCUGUUCACUCUGCACCAUCAGAGCCCUGAGCUAAUCUCUGUUGUCACAGGACACUGUCAUUUUUCCCUUUUUUGUUUCAGACUCCUGAGGGUUAAUGGCACCAGGAUGUAUUGUUGAGUGUUGAAAUAUUUUUUUAACCUUUUAUUAUGG
rnacentral:lncRNA from 1 species